rnacentral:rRNA from 1 species
AGAGUUUGAUCCUGGCUCAGGAUGAACGCUAGCGGCAGGCUUAAUACAUGCAAGUCGUGGGGCAGCAGUCCCGUAGCAAUACGGGAGCUGGCGACCGGCAAACGGGUGCGGAACACGUACGCAACCUUCCUUUAAGUGGGGAAUAGCCCAGGGAAACUUGGAUUAAUACCCCGUAAUAUUAUGAGGUGGCAUCAUCUUAU